CGCUGCCCGCCGGGCGGCGCCCCGCGCCUCCCGCGCUCCCCGCUCUCGGCUCGCUCGCAGCCGGACACAGACUCUGUCUUCGGCUGCCGGCGGAUCGGACUGGAGCCGCCGAGGCUGCUGCGGAAGAGGAAAAAAAAAAAUGGAAACCAAUAGCCCGGCGGGCGGCGGAGCAGCGCCCGUGCCCCCACUCAGCUCCGGAGUGCGGAGCCGUCCAGAGUUGCUGAUGUGGUGAAUGUUGGAUAAAACAUCUCUUUCCUUGGAGAGAUUAACAACUAAGUGCCUCAGCGACCUAGCGGAGUGGCUGUUUUAGCGACAGACUUUCCCUCUUGCCCUUGCUUGGCUGGAAGUUCAAGCAGAUCUGGGGUAUGGGAGGGACCCUUUCUGUAUCUUCAGCUCUGCUAGAGUCAAGGGAUUGAACUCAGGACCUUGCACUUGUGAGGCAGGCGUUGGAACCACUGAGCUAAAUCCCUGGCCCUCUUCCUGUAUGAACAUGAACCUUGUCUAGUUUUAUUCAUACCUAUGAUGGAGGAAGAUUCCUUGUGUCAGGGUCAUAGUAUGCUCUGGUUUCUCUGCCUGAACUUAAUCCCCCCACCUCCCAUGGUCUGGGAACUGCAGACUAGAGAGUUGUAGGCCCUUUGAAGGAAGGAGCUGUUCAGAAGAACAAGCCCAUGAUGGAGUCUCAGAACAUCUUGCAGGCUCCAUCUCAGCUUCUGUAUUCCUGGCCCCUAGCCUCUCUCCUUGAACUUCCAAACAGGCCAGAGUAACCUGUUUUUGGAGUUUUGUGGCAACUGGUUUCAAGGUAAGUUUCGGUGGGUGUUACUGGGGUGUGGACCCUCAGGCAUCAGACCCAGGAUGCCCUGAUUCUCCCUGGGAGAAGAGGGUAGUAGAGCCAUAGGCAACUUGGGUCUGUACUCCAAUAAGUCUCCUCAGGCGAAUCACACAUGGGCAGGUCAAACAACACCAGUGAGUCUUGCCCAGGUUUGGGAUUCAGUGGCUGGUUUGAGGUUCUCCUGUUUCUUGUAUUAUCUUGAGCACCUAGCACAGGGCCUGGCUCAUGAGAAUGUCCCAGAAGUGACUUUGCCUUUUGACAUUUGUGCAGGGGCCUGAAGCUUCUGGUGGAAGGUUCUGGUGAGAGUAGUGGUGGCAGCUCUGAUUCAGAGUGUGUGUGUGUGUGUGUGUGUGUAUGUGUGUAAAGUAAGGACUUCAGGAUGGGGGCCCCUAAUACCUGCUGCAUGUAUCCUUGGUAAAACCACCCUGCUGGGCCUCUCACCCACAGGAGGCCCACCCUAGCCUGUGGGCUCUUCAGCAGGGCUGACUCCUGCUCCACUGUCAUCCUUUAUGGUCCCCUUAGAGUAAGAGAGUAAAUGGUUUUAUGAGGGCAUUUUUUUAACCUCUUUGUUUUAAAAAAAAUGUAGAGUUUUCCUGCAAAUUAAGCAAAUGUCCAAUCGGUUUUGGUUGCCUGCCUGGCAGCCUUCUGGAAGCCGUGCCUUAG
rnacentral:lncRNA from 1 species